rnacentral:rRNA from 1 species
UACAGAGGUCUCAAGCGUUGUUCGGAUUCAUUGGGCGUAAAGGGUGCGUAGGCGGCGAGGCAAGUCUGGUGUGAAAUCCCGGGGCUCAACCCCGGAACUGCACUGGAUACUGCUUUGCUAGAGUACUGGAGAGGGUACUGGAAUUUACGGUGUAGCAGUGAAAUGCGUAGAUAUCGUAAGGAAGACCAGCGGCGAAGGCGAGUUCCUGGACAGUUACUGACGCUGAGGCACGAAGGCCAGGGGAGCAAACGGG